UACGGAGGAUCCUAGCGUUAUCCGGAUUUACUGGGUUUAAAGGGUGCGUAGGCGGGCGCCUAAGUCAGCGGUGAAAGUCUGCGGCUCAACCGUAGGAUUGCCGUUGAAACUGGGCGUCUUGGAUUCGGUCGGGGCGGGCGGAAUGCGUGGUGUAGCGGUGAAAUGCAUAGAUAUCACGCAGAACGCCGAUAGCGAAGGCAGCUCGCCGGGCCGAUAUUGACGCUGAGGCACGAAAGCGUGGGGAUCAAACAGG
rnacentral:rRNA from 1 species